UGGUGGAGUGAUUUGUCUGGUUAAUUCCGAUAACGAACGAGACCUUAACCUGCUAAAUAGUUGACGUAUGGUUCCAUAUGAUCAACUUCUUAGAGGGACUAACUACAUUAGUGGUUGGAAGUUUGAGGCAAUAACA
rnacentral:rRNA from 1 species